GGACUACUAGGGUUUCUAAUCCUGUUCGCUCCCCACGCUUUCGCUCCUCAGCGUCAGUAACGGCCCAGAGACCUGCCUUCGCCAUUGGUGUUCUUCCCGAUAUCUACACAUUCCACCGUUACACCGGGAAUUCCAGUCUCCCCUACCGCACUCCAGCCCGCCCGUACCCGGCGCAGAUCCACCGUUAAGCGAUGGACUUUCACACCGGACGCGACGAACCGCCUACGAGCCCUUUACGCCCAAUAAUUCCGGAUAACGCUUGCACCCUACGUAUUACCGCGGCUGCUGGCACGUAGUUAGCCGGUGCUUAUUCGAAAGGUACACUCACCCGAAGGCUUGCUCCCGAUCAAAAGCGGUUUACAACCCGAAGGCCGUCAUCCCGCACGCGGCGUCGCUGCAU
rnacentral:misc_RNA from 1 species